UACGGGGGGGGCGAGCGUUGUUCGGAAUCACUGGGCGUAAAGGGCGCGUAGGCGGCCCGCACAAGUCUGGGGUGAAAACCCCCGGCUUAACCGGGGGCCGGCCGUGGAAACUGUCGGGCUAGAGGCCGGGAGAGGGCAGCGGAAUUCCCGGUGUAGCGGUGAAAUGCGUAGAGAUCGGGAGGAACACCGGCGGCGAAGGCGGCUGCCUGGACCGGCCCUGACGCUGAGGCGCGAAAGCGUGGGGAGCAAACAGG
rnacentral:rRNA from 1 species